UACGAAGGGAGCUAGCGUUGUUCGGAAUCACUGGGCGUAAAGCGCACGUAGGCGGAUGUGUCAGUCAGGGGUGAAAUCCCGGAGCUCAACUUCGGAACUGCCUUUGAUACAGCACGUCUUGAGUCCGAUAGAGGUGGGUGGAAUUCCUAGUGUAGAGGUGAAAUUCGUAGAUAUUAGGAAGAACACCAGUGGCGAAGGCGGCUAUCUGGACGGUUUCUGACGCUAAGACGCGAAAGCGUGGGGAGCAAACAGG
rnacentral:rRNA from 1 species